CUCAGCUUCCAGAGCAGCUGAGACUACAGGUGCUCACCACCACGCUGUGCUAAUUUUUUGUAUUUUUAGUAGAGAUGGGGUUUCACCGUGUUAGCCAGGAUGGUCUCGAUCUCCUGACUUCGUGAUCCGCCCGCCUCGGCCUCCCAAAGUGCUGGGAUUACAGGUGUGAGCCAUAAAAAGAGAAUGGCAGUUGUUUGUGGGGAAGAGAGAAUCCCAAAAGUCUCUUUCAUGGAAAAGGGAAGAAGAGGCUGUCAACUAAGCCACUGAAGCCAGACAAACAAGCACUCCCGGCAGAUAUGAGAAAUGGCAGCCCUCCUCCAAUCAAGGACUUCCUGGAGAGAGGCCUUAUUAGCGCUCCUGCAC
rnacentral:lncRNA from 10 species